rnacentral:rRNA from 1 species
AACGUACGCUGGCGGCACGCCUAACACAUGCAAGUCGAACGAAGUAGCAAUACUUAGUGGCAGACGGGUGAGUAACAUGUGGGUAUNUACCCUUUGGCCUGGNAUAACACGAGGAAACUUGUGCUAAUACCGGAUAAGUCUUUACGGAGAAAGCUUUAUGCACUAUUGGAUGAGCCCGCACUUGAUUAGUUUGUUGGUAGGGUAAUGGCCUACCAAGACUAUGAUCAAUAGCUGAUUUGAGAGGAUGAUCAGCCACAUUGGGACUGAGACACGGCCCAAACUCCUACGGGAGGCAGCAGUGGGGAAUCUUGCACAAUGGAGGAAACUCUGAUGCAGCGAUGCCGCGUGAGUGAAGAAGGCCUUUGGGUUGUAAAGCUCUUUCGUCGGGGAAGAAAAUGACUGUACCCGAAUAAGAAGGUCCGGCUAACUUCGUGCC